AUACGUAGGGUGCGAGCGUUGUCCGGAAUUACUGGGCGUAAAGAGCUCGUAGGUGGUUUGUCGCGUCGUCUGUGAAAUUCCGGGGCUUAACUCCGGGCGUGCAGGCGAUACGGGCAUAACUUGAGUACUGUAGGGGAGACUGGAAUUCCUGGUGUAGCGGUGAAAUGCGCAGAUAUCAGGAGGAACACCGGUGGCGAAGGCGGGUCUCUGGGCAUGAACUGACGCUGAGGAGCGAAAGCAUGGGUAGCGAACAGGAUUAGAUACCCUGGUAGUCCAUGCCGUAAACGGUGGGCGCUAGGUGUAGGGGUCUUCCACGACUUCUGUGCCGUAGCUAACGCAUUAAGCGCCCCGCCUGGGGAGUACGGCCGCAAGGCUGAAACUCAAAUGAAUUGACGGGG
rnacentral:rRNA from 1 species